rnacentral:rRNA from 1 species
CCUACGGGUGGCAGCAGUGGGGAAUAUUGCUCAAUGGGGGAAACCCUGAACCAGCAACGCCGCGUGGAGGAUGAAGGUUUUAGGGUUGUAAACUCCUUUUGUGAGAGAAGAUAAUGACGGUAUCUCACGAAUAAGCACCGGAUAACUCCGUGAAAGAAGCCGCGGUAAUACGGAGGGGGCAAGCGUUACUCGGAAUCACUGGGCGUAAAGAGUGCGCAGGCGGGUUUGUAAGUCAGAUGUGAAAUCCUGUAGCUUAACUACAGAACUGCAUUUGAAACUAUUAGUCUAGAGUGUGGGAGAGGUAGGUGGAAUUCGUGGUGUAGGGGUAAAAUCCGUAGAUAUCAAGAGGAAUACUCAUUGCGAAGGCGACCUACUGGAACAUUACUGACGCUCAUGCACGAAAGCGUGGGGAGCAAACAGGAUUAGAUACCCGUGUAGUC